rnacentral:rRNA from 1 species
GACGAACGCUGGCGGCGUGCCUAAUACAUGCAAGUAGAACGCUGAAGCGAGGAGCUUGCUCUUCUUGGCUGAGUUGCGAACGGGUGAGUAACGCGUAGGUAACCUGCCUUGUAGCGGGGGAUAACUAUUGGAAACGAUAGCUAAUACCGCAUAACAAUGGAUGACACAUGUUAUUUAUUUGAAAGGGGCAAUUGCUCCACUACAAGAUGGACCUGCGUUGUAUUAGCUAGUAGGUGAGGUAAUGGCUCACCUAGGCGACGAUACAUAGCCGACCUGAGAGGGGGAUCGGCGAAACUGGGAAUGAGAAACGGCCCAGACUCCAGCGGGAGGCAGCAGGAGGGAGUCGGGGGCAAUGGGGGCAACCCUGACCGAGGAAGGCGGGGUGAGUGAUGAAGGAUGUCGGACCGUAAAGUGCUGUUGUAAGUCAAGAACGGGUGUGAGAGUGGAAAGUUCACACGGUGACGGUAGCUUAACAGAAAGGGACGGCUAACUACGUG